AUUUCUGUAGUGGGCCCCAUCAUUGUUGGGCUGGAGUCCCAAGAAGGCAUGGUCUAGGUGGGCCUGAAGUCCUAUUCGUAGGUGAAGUCUAGGUGAAUAGACUCUGAAGUGAGGAGAGUCACUGAUGGAUGGGGGCUUUGGUGAACAGUCAUUAUGGGAAGGGGUCCACAGUGGGAGGGGCUCUUCGGGACGGAUGGGUCUGCUUUGGUCAGGAUCCCUGAUAAGCGGGGCUGUUGAUGGGCAGGGUCAUUGAUGGGAAAGUGUCUAAAUGGAAGAAUUCAUUGAUAGGGCUAUUGGUAUUAAGGGCUACUUGGUGGGUGGGGGUCACUGAUGAUCAGAGGUCCUCAGUGGGUGAUUGUUCUGCCGGGUUACUUGUGAAGGAGUCAUUGUUGGUUUGGGGUCACUCGUGGUCAGGGCCUCAGCUGACCUCCUCUGGGGGGAAUCUUGGCGCGGUCUGGGGUCUGCGCUCCUAUCUGACGUCGGCAGGGGGCGCCCCUUGCGCGUCGCUGCGUCUGGUCUGCUCACGGAGACUCCACCCGGGCUAUAGAGGAGCCACAAGGGCACUUGCGUCGGCCUGGAGGCGCUGCGGGGCUGCAGACCGCCCAGGCUAGCUUUGAACUACUGACCCUCCUGUCUUCACCUUCUGAGUACUGGGUUGAUGAGCAUACCCAUCACGUCCCAUCUAAGCCUUGUCACUCAGCAGUUAACUGGCACAUGGAAUUGGGGUUCUCAACUACAGAUGAUGAGGACCGAUGGUAGACACAUCACUGGGGACAGAGGUCCAGCUUGUGGCUCCGUCUUCCUUCUCGUGCCCAGGCCCGUGGGAUGGAGCUCCCCGAUGCGAUGGAGGUGAUGAUCCUGACUCUCAGAGGGGCAUCAAAUCUAACCCUGCCCAGUACAGGGCUGUACACUAAGACCUGUGGACUGGGCUCCACCCAUAACGUCGCUUGAGGGAAAGAUGCCGGAGGCGUCCGUGCUGCUCACCUCUCUGGACAGAGACAGCCUGGGGAAAGGCAUAGCUAUCGGACUUGUGGCGUGAUGUUCCAGGAAUCUGAAGAGGGCUGAGGGUUGAGAUGCUUCCUGGAGGGUAAGGAAAGGUGGGGCGGCUGAGAUGCCCCUCUACUGGAGACCACCUUGACUGGGGCAGGAAACUGAAUACUGCUUAGCAAUCCUACUACCUCUCCAUGGAUCCUAAUUCAUUAAUAAGAGGAAGAAGGAAGGACACAGGCUGGUCUCCCUCACAUUGUUAUUCAAUUGGGAUUGGAGUUUUAAAUCCCGUAAUAAAGUGACAAUUUCCAUU